ACGAACGCUGGCGGCGCGCCUAAUACAUGCAAGUCGAGCGAGAAGACGUAGCAGUACGUUUGUAAAGCGGCGAACGGGUGAGGAAUACAUGGGUAACCUACCCUCGAGUGGGGAAUAACUAGCCGAAAGGUUAGCUAAUACCGCGUACGCUCCUUGGACUUCGGUUCAGGGAGGAAAGCGAUACCGUGGGUAUCGCGCUCUUGGUUGGGCUCAUGUCCUAUCAGCUUGUUGGUGAGGUAACGGCUCACCAAGGCUUCGACGGGUAGCUGGUCUGAGAGGACGAUCAGCCACACUGGCACUGCGACACGGGCCAGACUCCUACGGGAGGCAGCAGUAAGGAAUAUUGCGCAAUGGGCGAAAGCCUGACGCAGCGACGCCGC
rnacentral:rRNA from 1 species